GGUCCCGUAGUGUAGCGGUUAUCACGUCGCCCUGUCACGGCGAAGAUCGCGGGUUCGAUUCUCCGUCGGGACCG
rnacentral:tRNA from 1 species